AUGGUAUUUUAGCUGUAGGUCUACUGCAGUUAAUAUGGUAUUUUAGCUGUAGGUCUACUGCGGUUAAUAUGGUAUUUUAGCUGUAGGUCUACUGCGGUUAAUAUGGUAUUUUAGCUGUAGGUCUACUGCGGUUAAUAUGGUAUUUUGCAGAUGCUUUUAUCCAGAACUGUCAACAUUGAUAGUGACACACAUUCAGUAGAGGCCUCUGGCACUAAGAGAGAAUAUGUAUACAUAAAAGGAUUAAACACACCUCUCUGACUAUGAGUCUUUUCUUACCCGUGCAUUUGUUUACAAGUUUCCUCAUUUGUUUACAAGUUUCCUCUUCCCUAAUUUGUUUUUGUUUUUUUA
ensembl:lncRNA